AGUCAGUCUCACAGAAGUUCCUAUUCUUCCAUUAUUAUAGCACUGUGGAAGAACUGGAAUGAACUCUAGCUGCCAAAGAAAGGUCCUUGAUAUAAAAUGUGUACAUUCUAGGUCUCUUAAUGAAAGGACAGCUUCAGCCUACCUUGGGUACCUGCUUAAUGCAAAAAGACAAUCAGAGGUUUUCUAUGUUAGAUGGCUGUACAAUGGGAAAAUGAAGAAGGUAAUUUGAUUGAUCUCACAGAAGCAGGUAUAGCUAAGAGGCAAAGUGAUAUGGCUUUUGUUAAACUUCAGUUAGGGAAAGAUUCAUAAGAAGCAGUUGAAUGUUAUUGUACCAUAUUAGCAUUUAAUGGACUUAUAGUAAAGGUAAAGGUUUUCCUCUGA